GAAAUGCGAUAACUAGUGUGAAUUGCAGAAUUCCGUGAAUCAUCGAGUCUUUGAACGCACAUUGCGCCCCCUGGUAUUCCGGGGGGCAUGCCUGUCCGAGCGUCAUUGCUGCCCAUCAAGCACGGCUUGUGUGUUGGGUCGUCGUCCCCUCUCCGGGGGGGACGGGCCCCAAAGGCAGCGGCGGCACCGCGUCCGAUCCUCGAGCGUAUGGGGCUUUGUCACCCGCUCUGUAGGCCCGGCCGGCGCUUGCCGAACGCAAAUCAAUCUUUUUCCAGGUUGACCUCGGAUCAGGUAGGGAUACCGCUGAACUUAAGC
rnacentral:misc_RNA from 1 species